ACACAUGCAAGUCGAGCGGUAGCACAGAGAGCUUGCUCUCGGGUGACGAGCGGCGGACGGGUGAGUAAUGUCUGGGAAACUGCCUGAUGGAGGGGGAUAACUACUGGAAACGGUAGCUAAUACCGCAUAACGUCGCAAGACCAAAGUGGGGGACCUUCGGGCCUCAUGCCAUCAGAUGUGCCCAGAUGGGAUUAGCUGGUAGGUGGGGUAACGGCUCACCUAGGCGACGAUCCCUAGCUGGUCUGAGAGGAUGACCAGCCACACUGGAACUGAGACACGGUCCAGACUCCUACGGGAGGCAGCAGUGGGGAAUAUUGCACAAUGGGCGCAAGCCUGAUGCAGCCAUGCCGCGUGUGUGAAGAAGGCCUUCGGGUUGUAAAGCACUUUCAGCGGGGAGGAAGGCGGUGAGGUUAAUAACCUCAUCGAUUGACGUUACCCGCAGAAGAAGCACCGGCUAACUCCGUGCCAGCAGCCGCGGUAAUACGGAGGGUGCAAGCGUUAAUCGGAAUUACUGGGCGUAAAGCGCACGCAGGCGGUCUGUCAAGUCGGAUGUGAAAUCCCCGGGCUCAACCUGGGAACUGCAUUCGAAACUGGCAGGCUAGAGUCUUGUAGAGGGGGGUAGAAUUCCAGGUGUAGCGGUGAAAUGCGUAGAGAUCUGGAGGAAUACCGGUGGCGAAGGCGGCCCCCUGGACAAAGACUGACGCUCAGGUGCGAAAGCGUGGGGAGCAAACAGGAUUAGAUACCCUGGUAGUCCACGCUGUAAACGAUGUCGAUUUGGAGGUUGUGCCCUUGAGGCGUGGCUUCCGGAGCUAACGCGUUAAAUCGACCGCCUGGGGAGUACGGCCGCAAGGUUAAAACUCAAAUGAAUUGACGGGGGCCCGCACAAGCGGUGGAGCAUGUGGUUUAAUUCGAUGCAACGCGAAGAACCUUACCUGGUCUUGACAUCCACAGAACUUUCCAGAGAUGCAUUGGUGCCUUCGGGAACUGUGAGACAGGUGCUGCAUGGCUGUCGUCAGCUCGUGUUGUGAAAUGUUGGGUUAAGUCCCCAACGAGCGCAACCCUUAUCCUUGUUGCCAGCGUUNGGCCGGGAACUCAAGGAAACUGCCGUGAUAAACUGGAGGAAGGUGGGGAUGAC
rnacentral:rRNA from 1 species